rnacentral:rRNA from 1 species
UGCCAGACUCCUACGGGAGGCAGCAGUGGGGAAUAUUGCACAAUGGGGGAACCCUGAUGCAGCGACGCCGCGUGGGCGAGGAAGUAUUUCGGUAUGUAAGGCCCUAUCGGCAGGGAAGAAGAAAUGACGGUACCUGAAUAAGAAGCACCGGCUAAAUACGUGCCAGCAGCCGCGGGAAUACGUAGGGGGCAAGCGUUAUCCGGAUUUACUGGGUGUAAAGGGGGCGCAGACGGCAGCGCAAGCCAGGAGUGAAAGCCCGGGGCCCAACCCCGGGACUGCUCUUGGAACUGCGCGGCUGGAGUGCAGGAGGGGCAGGCGGAAUUCCUGGUGUAGCGGUGAAAUGCGUAGAUAUCAGGAGGAACACCGGUGGCGAAGGCGGCCUGCUGGACUGCGACUGACGUUGAGGCCCGAAAGCGUGGGGAGCAAACAGGAUUAGAUACCCUCGUA